UACGUAGGGCGCAAGCGUUGUCCGGAAUUAUUGGGCGUAAAGAGCUCGUAGGCGGCUUGUCACGUCGGGUGUGAAAGCCCGGGGCUUAACCCCGGGUCUGCAUUCGAUACGGGCUAGCUAGAGUGUGGUAGGGGAGAUCGGAAUUCCUGGUGUAGCGGUGAAAUGCGUAGAGAUCCGGAGGAACCCCAGAGGCGAAGGCGGCCCACUGGCUCGUACCUGACGCUCAGCCACGAAAGCAUGGGGAGCGAACGGG
rnacentral:rRNA from 1 species